rnacentral:rRNA from 1 species
GAGUUUGAUCAUGGCUCAGAUUGAACGCUGGCGGCAGGCCUAACACAUGCAAGUCGAACGGUAACAGGAAGAAGCUUGCUUCUUUGCUGACGAGUGGCGGACGGGUGAGUAAUGUCUGGGAAACUGCCUGAUGGAGGGGGAUAACUACUGGAAACGGUAGCUAAUACCGCAUAACGUCGCAAGACCAAAGAGGGGGACCUUCGGGCCUCUUGCCAUCGGAUGUGCCCAGAUGGGAUUAGCUAGUAGGUGGGGUAACGGCUCACCUAGGCGACGAUCCCUAGCUGGUCUGAGAGGAUGACCAGCCACACUGGAACUGAGACACGGUCCAGACUCCUACGGGAGGCAGCAGUGGGGAAUAUUGCACAAUGGGCGCAAGCCUGAUGCAGCCAUGCCGCGUGUAUGAAGAAGGCCUUCGGGUUGUAGAGUACUUUCAGCGGGGAGGAAGGGAGUAAAGUUAAUACCUUUGCUCAUUGACGUUACCCGCAGAAGAAGCACCGGCUAACUCCGUGCCAGCAGCCGCGGUAAUACGGAGGUGCAAGCGUUAAUCGGAAUUACUGGGCGUAAAGCGCACGCAGGCGGUUUGUUAAGUCAGAUGUGAAAUCCCCGGGCUCAACCUGGGAACUGCAUCUGAUACUGGCAAGCUUGAGUCUCGUAGAGGGGGGUAGAAUUCCAGGUGUAGCGGUGAAAUGCGUAGAGAUCUGGAGGAAUACCGGUGGCGAAGGCGGCCCCCUGGACGAAGACUGACGCUCAGGUGCGAAAGCGUGGGGAGCAAACAGGAUUAGAUACCCUGGUAGUCCACGCCGUAAACGAUGUCGACUUGGAGGUUGUGCCCUUGAGGCGUGGCUUCCGGAGCUAACGCGUUAAGUCGACCGCCUGGGGAGUACGGCCGCAAGGUUAAAACUCAAAUGAAUUGACGGGGGCCCGCACAAGCGGUGGAGCAUGUGGUUUAAUUCGAUGCAACGCGAAGAACCUUACCUGGUCUUGACAUCCACGGAAGUUUUCAGAGAUGAGAAUGUGCCUUCGGGAACCGUGAGACAGGUGCUGCAUGGCUGUCGUCAGCUCGUGUUGUGAAAUGUUGGGUUAAGUCCCGCAACGAGCGCAACCCUUAUCCUUUGUUGCCAGCGGUCCGGCCGGGAACUCAAAGGAGACUGCCAGUGAUAAACUGGAGGAAGGUGGGGAUGACGUCAAGUCAUCAUGGCCCUUACGACCAGGGCUACACACGUGCUACAAUGGCGCAUACAAAGAGAAGCGACCUCGCGAGAGCAAGCGGACCUCAUAAAGUGCGUCGUAGUCCGGAUUGGAGUCUGCAACUCGACUCCAUGAAGUCGGAAUCGCUAGUAAUCGUGGAUCAGAAUGCCACGGUGAAUACGUUCCCGGGCCUUGUACACACCGCCCGUCACACCAUGGGAGUGGGUUGCAAAAGAAGUAGGUAGCUUAACCUUCGGGAGGGCGCUUACCACUUUGUGAUUCAUGACUGGGGUGAAGUCGUAACAAGGUA